CAGAAGAGUUUGGUAAAAAUCUGUUGGCUCUAAAUGUUCAUGUGACUUAUAAAAUUGUCAAAUGAAUAAUCACCCAGUUAUGCAAUAAUAUAACCAUUUAAAUGAGUGCACAGAGAUUUAUAGCAAACCUAAUCGGUGUUCUGCUUCUAAUUCAUCAAGAGAAAUGAUCACAUUUGCUCUGAGUGAGAAGGAAAAUCUGCAUCUGCAAAUUUCCAGUGACUCGGUCUUUCUUUAAUCUGGAGCCUUUAGAAGACAAGUUUGCUUUCCAACUGGGACUCAAAAUGACUAGAGGAAACCAGUUCUUCAUAUAUGGGGAAAAUAACUCUUCCUCCUGCAGACCUUGCUGGACCAAGCAGUUGGAUGAUAAGCUGCCAUCUAAUGCCUCCUAAAGAUUCUUUAAGAGGAGCAGAGAGGACCACUCUACUCUUGGAAGAAGUAGGAGAGGAAAAGCCACCUGUCCCAUAAGCUCAUCUAUUGUAAGUUUCCAUCCUGAGCCGAGACUUUGUGUGCCAAGCUUCUGCCCAGCGUGAAUUUUAACAACAGAGAUACUGGUGAGCCUGAAAUUAAAGAGAAGCAUUUUUAUGCCAAGCUUCUAAAUAGCUUCCCAAGUAUAAGGAUAACAUAGACGUCAGCCUUGUAUAGCACACAAAAAAUAUCUUGUUCAUGCCGUGCAUUCCUAACACCCACAGCUAGUGCUAGGAAGAAUGGUCUGAUACUUGGGUUUAAUUCUUGGCUCAACCACAAACUUUUUAUGUGUCCUUGGGAAAGUUGCUUAAUAUA